rnacentral:lncRNA from 1 species
GCAAUUGUUAAUGUUUUAAAACAUUGCUCUGAUAAGCAAGAAAUUGAGCCCAUAAACGGAUAUGGUUGCAAGGCGCACCUCUUGUGCAGUUCCAUCCAUUAUUCUGGUGAAAUAGUAGCUUGGAAGUCUCAAAAUUGAUCGGAACAUUCCUCCCAGUAUAUUGAGCAGACUCUCUGGUAUUGCGAUGUCCUCAAAAACCAAUGCCAUUUUUGUUGUAUUCACUAUUUUGCUCAGCUAUUCCCUGCAUUUAUGCCAUGUUUUAAAAAAAUGGGAUAUUUCUGUUAAGGUAAAUGUGUAGGCUUUUGUCUCAACAGAACGACUGUUAAUGUGGUUGAUGCUUCAUGUAAUUUUGUUUGCUUAUUCUAAGCAUUUGAGAAGCUUGUGUUAUUUCUUAUAAAAACCCUGUUUUAGAAUGCUUAUUUGAUGUUUGAAGCAUUUGUCCAAUAUCAUAAUAUUAAUAAAUGGAAGAUUUUGUGAUGUGUCAUCUUAGUGUUGUGCUGUGAUUGGAUGCUGAUGGUGCCUUUGAGGACCAAAUUAUCUUUCUGAAUGGUUGAUAUUUUAAUUGUUGCACUUCCUCGAUUGCAGGUUGUUGAUACCUGUGUGUUAUUGCGAAAACUCUCUGGGAAUAUUCUCUACACAUUUGAAGGUCAUUGAAGAAGCCAAAGUAUGGCACACUGACUAAUGUCGCACCCUAUCACCGUAGAGGUCCACGAGGAAGAUAAGUUAGAUGAUAUAAUUGCCCAUAACCUUAUCAAUCACUCAUCUAUGAAUAUAAACUUAAUCAAAUGUUGUUUUAUUAAAAUAUAUGCUUCUAUUAGAAUUUACAUAUUUAAUUAAUCAUUAUAUUUAAAAUUAAUUUCAUUUCUAUAACUUCAAUUUUAUAAAUAUGUAAAUUUUCACUUUAAAUAUUUUUGUUUUUGUUUUUCUUAAGAUGAACCAUUUGACCAAAAAGUUGCAUCUCAUUUUACAUAUAUCUCAUCUAGAAUUAUUUGGCGGCGUCAUGAGAUACGUGGAUUUAUUCAUUUUGACAAGUAUAGCUAUGUCCAAAAUGAAAAAGUAUUUAAUAAUUUAACAAAGUAUAGAUAAUUAUCUUUUAUAAAACUCAACAUAUUAUAAAUCAAAAUUCCAAAAUUCAAAAUUGUGGAUUAUAAAUGAUUAGAAAUUAAAAGCCUAAAGAAAAACAAAUUAGAGAUUCUUUAAAAUAUAACAUAAAGGAAAAUUAAAAGUAUACCCUGAUUUUUAAGUGUUAUAUAUAUAUAUAUAUAUAUAUAUAUAUAUAUAUAUAUAUAAAACAUAUAACUUUAUUUUGGGAAAAAUGGUUUUUAAAGAGCAGCCAAUUUUGUUGACUUAAUAGUUUAAUUCAUACGUAAAGGAUAGAUACUUUUAACAUAAUUAAAUAUAUCUUUAAGAUUACAUUUUGUUUAAGUUUCAAUGAAAGUUAUUUAUUUCAACUCAUAAAAUUAUAAAAAUAUAUACUUCCAAUUAUUACUAAUUGUAAGAUAACAUUAUUUUCUGAAAUAUAAGAUUAAAAAUGAAUAAAAAUUUCCUUGGAUAGGUAGGAAGAAAAAUGAAUAAAAAUUAAGAUCUUGUUAAUAAAUGCCUUUAGAAUAUUGGUUAAAUAAUUAAAAGGAAUUAAAAAAAAUGAUAGCAUAAUAAAAAAUUAAAAAAAGAUACAUUUUUACAUGUCAAAACUAUUCUUUUUCCUCUCUUAAUUAGUGUUUCAAUAGAUUUUUUUAGUAUUUGUAGGUUGACAAAUGUUCUAAUGAUACUGGUUAAGAAAAAUCAAAACCCCCAAAAUUUCUUUAUUCUUUCAAGAAGAAAUAUGCUUGCUCCCUUUAAUGCAUUGCCAACUUAUCACUUUAUGUUUAUUAUAAAAAGUUUUCUUUUUUCUAAACACUAUUAGUACCCUCUUGUCUAAAUAAUACAUACUUAAAUCUACAAAAUAUCACUUUUUAUAAAAUUAUUGAAUAAUAAAAAACAAAUAAUUUAAUUACAAAAACACUGACUUACUGAAUAUUUAAAGUACCAAAAAUGGACCAAUUAAAAGUGGUAAACACCUACCCAAAGAGAAGUCAUACUUUGAUAGCAGCCUCAUGCACGUGCCUUUUCAUCCCACCAACCGACUAAUUAUAUUAAAUUUGGCACAAAAAUAAUUUUAAUAUGCCCUUUUACCUUUUUUAGCUUUUAGUUAAAUUAAAUAUAAGAAUAAAGUUCAUAUUUUAAUUAGCUGUUAAUAUUUUUAAAAUAUUUUUUUAACAAGUUAGAGCCUUACUUUUAUGUUAUAUUAACAUAAUAAAACAGUUUUAUGAAAUUUGAUUUUGAACUUAUAUUCCAAUAAUGAAGAUCAUGACGUGGCUAUAUAAACAUGACAAAACUAAACAAAGCACACAACAACUAAACACUUGUGAAAAUGAGUUCUAACUCCAAAGACAGUGAAGUUUCCUUAGAAGUAGAAAAGUUGGAUGAUUCAUACCGUUCUGCUGUGUUGCUUUGUUUCAGCAAUGUUCUUCCUGCAGUUCUAAACGCUGCCAUAGACAUGAAUUUGUUUGAUGUCAUAGCAAAGGCAAAGAGUUCUUGUGAUGAUCAUUCAAGUUUCUCUGCCUCUGAAAUCGCCUCUUUGCUUCCAAAUCAGCACCCACAAUUGGCUAAUAGGCUUCAAAGAAUGCUGCCAUUGUUGGUCAGUUACUCUCUUCUGCAUUGCUCCAUUCGCACCAAUGAAGAUGGUAAGAAAGAAAGAGUUUAUGCUCUCUCACCAGUUGGAGAAUACUUUGCUUAUGAUGAUGAAGGAAUCUCUAUGGCUCCACUCUCAACCUUACUUCAUCGUGGAUUUCAUGACCUUUGGUAAUUACUACUUUCAUUUUACCUCAAAUUUCUUGGUUUAGUUUUGAUUUAAUCUCUAAAUUGAUGAAAAUCCAACAAUUGAGUUGUGUUGUUUAAGGAUUCGUUUUACAUUAGAAUUAUUCUAUGCUCAAUUUGAUAUUAAGAUACAAAGUUCACAUGCUAGUUUGUCAUUAAGUGGUGCACCAUGAAGUACUUAUCUGUGUAACUAAGUUCUGCUAUAAAAAAUAUGUGCAUAAGAUUUAAAGAAGAGUGUUGAGCUAAAGGAAAACAAUGAAACAAGAAGAAAUGAGUAAUUAAGUUAAUCCUUUUCUGAGUGGUAGAAGUCAUGGACUUUAAUAUGCUUCUUAUGUCAUUUGUGCUCUUAUUAGGAAGGAUGCAAAAGGUGCAUUUAUGGACCCAAAUUGCAGUAAUCAUUUCGAAAGUGUCUAUGGAAUGCCAUCAUAUCAAUAUAUGGAGAAAGAUACAGAGUUGAAUGAAAUGUUUUUCAAAGCAAUGGCUCAUGCUGGUCCAAUAGAAGUGAAAAAGGUACUCAAAGUAUACAAAGGAUUUGAGGGGUUGUCUACUCUGGUUGAUGUAGGAGGUGGAGUAGGGCAGACCUUGAAACUCAUUCUCUCUGCAUACCCUUCAAUUAAAGGAGUUAACUUUGAUUUGCCUCAGACAAUUCAAGAUGCACCUCCUCAUCCAGGUACAUAUAUGCUAUUCUAUUCUAUGUGAUAUAGAGAUUUAUAUAAUUAUAAAUUACAUAUAAAGAUUUAUGUGCACGUUUCAGUUUUUUUUAAUAGAAAAAUGUUUCACAUGAUUUGUUUAAAAUGAUUUGUUCCUUAUUUUUUAUAAUCAUAUUAAAAAUUUAUAUAAUAAGUUUAAAAUUUUAGAGAAUUAAUGUAUUUCUUCUUUUUUAAAUUGUGUUAGAACCAUGUUAGAAUUGUCAGAAAUUCAACAUAUAUAUUUUGAAUUGUACAUUUCACCAAUACGUAUUCUACGAAUGUUGUACGACAAUGAUACACCAUUUAAGAGGCGUAUCCGAGUCUCAUAGAUGCUAGUUCUCUUUCUCUAUAUAUAAAGAAAUGAUCAAUUAUCAAUAUUUUGAAGUUUGUCAAAGUUAUCAGUUAGCAAAUUAACACUCAUUCUUCCUGAAGGUAUAGAGCAUGUGGCAGGAGAUAUGUUUGCAAGUGUUCCAAAUGGAGAUGCCAUCUUAGUAAAGGUUGGUGCAUUACAUGAGAGUUUAAUUUUGUACUUUUAAAAAGAAGUUCAAUAUACUGCAUAUAAUUUCUAAUCACAUUUUCUUCUUUGGUUUUGAUCAUUUCAGUCUAUAUGUCACAAUUGGACAGAUGAAGAUUGUAUAAAAUUUUUAAGAAACUGUCACAAAGCUUUGCCAGCACAUGGAAAAGUGAUUGUUAUGGACUAUAUAAUUCAAGAGGUUCCGAAUUCAAGUGAUGCAUCUAAACAUAGUAGUAUUGUGGACAAUCACAUGCUUUUAGCACAUGGAGGGAGGGAAAGAACUGAGAUUGAAUUUGAGAACUUGUGCAAGAACUCUGGCUUUUCCAAGUUUCAUGUUGCAUGUACUAGCAUAUCAGCUGUGGGAGUGAUGGAGUUCUAUAAAUAGAGUUUUUCAGGAGUUUUCAAGCAAAAAUAGAGUUUUGGAGUAGUAAUCAACAUAUGCAAGCAAUCUUGAAUAAUUAUUUUUUUUUGGAAAAGUGAAUGUAGCAAUUAAUAAAGUGGCAUGUAAUAUUUGAGUGUUCAAUAUUGAAUAUACUACAAAUAUAUGUUAUUCAUAAAAUACAUAUAGCACCCGUUCAAAAAAGGCACAUGAUAAAACAAUAUUUUCCUGUCUUUUAACUUGUGAAAAUUUACCAAUUUUUAAGUAGUCCUAAGAAUGUAUGUUUUUUUUAUAUCAUAAUUUGAUUUGAGAUUUAAACACUAAAUAGUGUCUGAUCUGGUUUUGGACAACUUGCAUGAAGAGACCAUAGAAGAGGAAACAUGUUGAGUUUUAAGCAAAAGAUCUUUGACAUACACAUACUUGCGUUGAGUCAUAACCAAAAACUUGUUUAACUCAUACUGAAUUUCUAUGCCUAAAAGAUAGUUUAGUAUCACCAAUUACUCAAGAGAAAAAUUAGAGUUCAAACUAUGAGAGAUUUGUUGAACGAGAAAAGCAAUUGUACUCGUAAUGAUAAUAUCAACAACAUAUACCAAUAUGUAAAUAAUUGUGGAUCAAACGUUAACUUUUAUAUUAGAAUUUGGUAUGCAAGAGAUAAAACGUAAGAAACUGAAAUUGGUUAUUAUUAUCAUUCGUUACUUUCUGAGAACGAAAGAGAAACCAAUUAAUUAUUUGUUUUGGUAAUUGUGUAUCACAAUUACUAAACUAUAGUUUAUGCUGUUGUAGGUAUAAUGAUGUUUUAUAUUUUCCCUCCUUGUUAUAUAUAUAUAUAUAUAUAUAUUUUAAUCAAUUUUAAGAAACAAAGAAUUAUUAAUUUUUAUAUUAAUAAAAUUAGAUAUUAUUUUAAAGAUUAAAAAUAAUUAUUGGUAUUUAAAUUAGUUUUUAUUUUUGAUAAAUAGUUUCUAAAUUGGUUUCUAAUUAACUAUCUAAGUUUUAACUACCAAUUAUUUAGAUUUUAAAGUUGAUAUCUAAAACCUUGAUAUCUAAUUAGACGUCAGUUUAAAAAUUAUUUAGUAAUAACAAAAACUAAUUUAGAUAUCAAUAAUAUUUUUAGUUUCUAAAAUAAUAUCUAAUUUUUUUAAUAUAGUAAUUAAUUAUUUUUUUUUCUAAAAUUAGUUUACACAAAUUUAUAGUCUCUAAAAUGGUCUCUAAUUCAGUAACUAUAACAAUUAAUUAUUAUUUUUUUCUAUUUCAUGUAGGUAAUUUUAUUCAUUUCUAAUUGAGUUAGCAAAAGCAUAAUAUAUAUAAUAUAUGUAAUUUAGUUCAACCUUCAUGUCAAAACAAAACAUAUGGAACUUGACUUUUCUUAUUUGGGAGAAAGUCCUAAACAAGAAGUUUCAUUUUACAGAAUACCUCAGCACUAGGCCAAACCACUCAUUUCCUUAUCAAGCCAUUUUUUUUCCAAAGAUUGCCAAUUUUUUCCCAAAGAUUUUUUGACUUGUGAGACAAUUUUAGACUAAUUGAAAGGUUCUCCACCACAAUAAAUUUGAAGGGAAAUUAGAGAUAUUAAUUUAAUUUAUAUUUCACUGUAAAAAUUUACAAAAGAUACAAUUUUACACGUCAGAGUAUUUUUUUUUUUUUAUUUUCCUCUCUUAAUUAGUGUUAGAAUUUGUUGGUUGAUAAUUGUUAAUGCCACUGGUUAAAACGUCAGUAUCCCCCAAAUUUCUUUAUUUUUUUUUGAAGAAAUAUGUUUGCUCCCUAAUACUUUAAUGCAUUAUGACUUAUCAUUUUAUAUUUAUCAUAAAAAAGUCUUUUUUUUAACCAUUAUUGACACACUCUGGUCUAAAUAAUACACAUAUUUAAAUCUACAUGAUAUACUCUAUUUAUAAAAUCAUUGAAAAUGUUUUUUUAUAAGUUAUAGUCUUCAUUUUAUGUUAUAUUAACAUAUUUUAUGAAAUUAUUGAAAAAUAAAUAAACAAAUAAUUUGAUACUUCGAUAGAAGCCUCAUGCACAUGCUAUCUCAAAUAAUUUAUAUGGUAAGAGUACAUUAGAUUUUAAUAUACCCUUUUACCUUUCUUAGCUUUUAGUUAAAUAUAAGAAUAAAGUUCAUAUUUUAAUUAGCUGUUAAUAUUUUUAAAAUAUUCUUUUAUAAAUUAGAGUCUUAAUUUUAUCUUAUAUUUAUAUAUUUGAAUAAAAUAGUUUUAUCAAAUUAGUUUUUAAACUUAUAUUCCAACGAUGAAGAUGUAAUGAAGAAGCAUGUGAUGCCUAUAUAAACAUCACAAAAACUACACAAAGUACACAACAAUAAACAGUAGUGAGAAUGGGUUCAAACUCCAAAGAGAUUGAAGUUCCCUUGGAAGUAGAAAAGGUUGAUGAUUCAUACCUUUCUGCUUUGUUGCUUUGUUUCAGCAAUGUUCUUCCUGCAGUUCUAAAUGCUGCCAUAGACAUGAAUCUGUUUGAUGUGAUAGCAAAGGCAAAGAGUUGUUGUGAUGAUGCAAGUUUUUCUGCCUCUCAAAUUGCCUCUUUGAUUCCAAAUGAGCACCCUCAAUUGGCUAAUAGGCUUGAAAGAAUGCUGCCAUUGUUGGCCAGUUACUCUCUUCUGCAUUGCUCCAUUCGCAGCAAUGAAGAUGGUAAGAGAGAAAGAGUUUAUGCUCUCUCACCUGUUGGACAAUACUUUUCUUAUGAUGAUGAAGGAAACUCUGUGGCUCCACUCUCAACUUUAUUUCAUCGCGGAUUUCAUAACCUUUGGUAAUUAAUACUUUCAUUUUACUUCUAAUUUCUUGGUUUAGUUUUUUUAGGGUUUAGGAUUUAUUCUCUAAAUUGAUGAAAAUCCAACCAUUGAGUUGUAUUGUUUAAGAAUUCAUUUCUUCAUAUUUUUUUUUAAAUUUUAACCCAAUCUUUUUAAGAUUUUCAAUUCAUUUUUUUCUUGUAAAAAAAAUUGUAACACCACAUUUUGGAUUUUACAAUCUAAAAAGUAAUUCUGAAUCUAGAAAUAUUGUUCGUAUUAUAUAAUUUAAAAUACAUUGUACAAUACAAAAUAGAAAAAAAAAAGUAAUUCACAAGCUAUUAUGGAAUUCAAGGACACCUUUCGAAUUCUGUAGUUUAAAUUGAAUUUUUUAAAGAAAAAAAAAAGUAUAUUUCGGAUGAUAGAAUCAGGGAGAGGUAUAAAUAGAAAAAAUAACAGUUUUUAAAUUGUACAAAAGUAUUUUUUAAGAACAAAAUAAUCUUUUUUACUGAUCUAUGGUUGCCCGGAGAAGCUACAAAGUUCCAAGAAGAAACAACUUAUUUCUAUGAUCAAUUUGAUAUUAAGAUACAAAAAUAUAUUUGUAACACUUAUAUUUUGAAUGGUACAAUUUGAAAAGUAAUUUUGAAUAUAGAAAAAAUUCUGAGUGGUAUAAGUCAUGGACUUGUAAUAUGAUUUCAUAUCAUUUGUGCUCUUACUAGGAAGGAUGCAAAAGGUGCAUAUCUGGACCCGAAUUGCAGUAACCAUUUCGAAAGUGUUUAUGGAAUGCUCCCAUUUGAAUAUAUGGAGAAAGAUACAAAGUUGAAUGAAAUGUUUUUCAAAGCAAUGGCUCAUGCUAGUCCAAUAGAAGUUAAAAGGGUAAUCAAAGUAUAUAAAGGAUUUGAGGGGUUGUCAACAUUGGUUGAUGUAGGAGGUGGAAUAGGACAUACCCUCAAACUCAUUCUCUCUACGUACCCUUCAAUUAAAGGACUUAAUUUUGAUUUGCCUCGGACAAUUCAAGAUGCACCUCCUCAUCCAGGUACAUUUAUGCUACUCUUAAAUUGUAUGUUCGUAUUGGACACACACGUAUCGAAUAUUGAUAUGCGUAUGACACUUGUAUGACAUUUGUAUGACACAUAUCGAUGAAGUGUCUAAUUCAAAAAAUAUCUUUUAGAUCUUUGACAAUUCUAGCAUGGUUCCAAAAUAAUUUUAAAAAAACAAAUACAGUGAUAUUCUAAAAACUCAAACGUAUUGUAUAAGUUUUUAUUAUGAUUAUAGAAAUAAGGAACAAAUCUUUUUGAAUUAACCAUGAAAAACAUCUUUAUGCCACAAAGAAUAAAAUUCAGCCAUAUUUAUUCACAUAAAUCUUGAUUAUCAACUUAUAUAAUUCAUAAUUAUAUUAUAUAUACAUCCAUGUCCUUUGUGUCUUAGAUUGAAAAUUACACGUAUCAAAGUAUCCGUGUCUAUGUCGUGUGCAAUGUCUGUGUCAGUGUAUGUUAUACAUAGCUAGUUUUUUUUUUCUAUACAUAAAAGAAAUUACCAAUAUUUUAAAAUUUUGUAACAAUUAUGAAUUAGCAAAUUAACACUUAUUCUGCAUGAAGGUAUAGAGCAUGUGGGAGGAGAUAUGUUUGAAAGUGUUCCAAAUGGGGAUGCCAUUUUAGUAAAGGUUGGUACAUUACAUGAGAGUUUAAUUUUAUACUUUUGAAGAGAAGUUCAAUAUAUAGUAUAAAAUUUAUAAUCACAUUUUCUUCUUUGGUUUUGGUCAUUUCAGCGUGUAUGUCACAAUUGGGGAGAUGAAGAUUGUAUAAAAUUUUUAAGAAACUGUCACAAAGCUUUGCCACCACAUGGAAAAGUGAUUGUUAUGGACUAUAUAAUUCUAGAGGUUCCAAAUUCAAGUGAUGCAUCUAAGCAUAGUAGUAUUGUGGACAAUCACAUGCUUUUAGCACAUGGAGGGAGGGAAAGAACUGAGAUUGAAUUUGAGAACUUGUGCAAGAGCUCUGGUUUUUCUAAGUUUCAUGUUGCAUGUAGUAGCAUAUCAUCUAUAGGAGUGAUGGAGUUCUAUAAGUAGGGCUUUUCAAUAGUGAAUUUUUCAUCAAUAAAAAACAUAUAUGUUGGAAAAGUUAUUGUAGCAAUUAAUAAAGUGGCAUGUGUUGAAUGUAACGGGCUUAACCUGUAAUGUUAUUUUGUUACUAUUUUCAUAUAUAAAUAAAUAAUCUUAUGUGUGUAUUUUACUCAAGAGAUUUAUUCUAUUUUUAUUUUUCAUUAUUUUAAUAUGGUAUGUAUAAAGUUAAGUUAAUAUCUUUGUUUUUUUUUAACCCAAUGCUCAUCGGAGUUUUUUUUUUUUUUCUGCUGUCGUUGCACUCUGCUACCUCUGUUGUCACGUCGUUUGUUCAACGUGAUCGCCUCGUCAUCCUUCUUUCGAAUUAUAUCAACAAUGUUACAAACUUUAAAAUUUAGAAUUUUGAUAUUUGGCAUUUCAGACUUGGUCAUCCUUCUAAUAAAAUUUUAGACCGCAUUUGUAAAUACAAUUAUGAUAUUCGGUAUAACAAUAAAAAUUUAUCUGAUUCCUGUUAUUUUGCCAAACAUCAUAGACUUAGCUUUCGUGAUAUUACAUCUGUUACUUCUGAUGUGUUUGAUCUUGUCCACAUAGAUAUUUGGGAUCCCUUUGAAAUAAGCCUAUAGAUUAUGUAAUUCAGAUAUAUUUUGGAUUACAUAAUCUGGAAGAAAAGACUUUCGGAUUAUGUAAUCCAAAAGCUAAUCACACAUAUGAAAAAAGGCUUCUGGAUUAUAUAAUUGAAAAUUAAUCUUAUAUAAAAAGACUUUUGAAUUAUAUAAUCAGACAAUUAAUCACAAAAAGGUUUUCGGAUUGCUAAAUCCAAAAACUAAUUACAAAUCUAAAAUUUAAAUUAUAUAAUCUAAAAUAUUAAAAAAAAUGAUAUUUUUGAAAUAAAAAAAAUUAUGAGAAGACACAAGAACUUGAAGAAGUCAAAGUAUGGCACACUGACCAAUGUCACACCCUAUCACCACAGAGGUCCACGAGAAAGAUAAGUUAGAUGAUAUAAUAUUGCCCAUAACCUUCGCUCAUCUAUAAAUAUAAACUUAAUCUAAUGUUAUUUUAUUAAAAUAUAUGCUUCUAUUAUAAUUUACAUAUUAAAUCAUUAUAUUUAAAAUUAAUUUCAUUUCUAUAACUUCAAUUUUAU